rfam:Camelus ferus unplaced genomic scaffold scaffold349, whole genome shotgun sequence.
GGAUAGGUAGAGCUCAGAGGUAGAGUGUGUGCUUAGCAUGCAUGAGGUCCUGGGUUCAAUCCCUAGUACCUCCA